UACAGAGGGUGCAAGCGUUAAUCGGAAUUACUGGGCGUAAAGCGUGCGUAGGUGGUUUGUUAAGUCAGGUGUGAAAUCCUCGGGCUCAACCCGGGAACUGCGCUUGAUACUGACUGACUCGAGUGUGGUAGAGGAUAGUGGAAUUCCCGGUGUAGCGGUGAAAUGCGUAGAUAUCGGGAGGAACAUCAGUGGCGAAGGCGGCUAUCUGGACCAACACUGACACUGAGGUACGAAAGCGUGGGUAGCAAACAGG
rnacentral:rRNA from 1 species